rnacentral:tRNA from 1 species
ACUAGCUCAGUCAGUAAAGAAUCUGCCUGCAAUGCAGGAGACCCAGGUUCAAUUCCUGGGU